GUUACCUUCUUCAGGGACUGAAGUGAACUAAUCGUAAUUUAUAGUAAUAGUUGUUAAGGUUCAGUGAACUUGGCUCAGUGACAAUAAGGUUGAUGUUCAAUGGAGUUUGACAACAAUAAGAUCCAGGGAUAGGACCGUUGUCAUUGUUAAGUAAAUUUUGUUUAUUUUUACAAUUAUUUACAACUAUUAGUAUAAAUUAGUAUUAGUUCUCUUUUAGAUUUAGUUCACUUCAAUCCCUGAAGAUGGUAACCUUGUUAAUGUAAAGUGCUUCGGACAACUAAAGUGUCGUGUUUUGGCGUUGGGGUUUUUAGCUAUUUUGUUUGUUCUAAAGUAAAAAGGAAUCUUUAAAUUGUAAUGCCAUUUUGGUAUAUUUGUAUUUCGCAGUCAUUUAAAAAUGUUUCUACCUUUUGUAACGUGUGUGACGCUGACAAAUAAAGAUGCAGACUCCAGUCUAUUUGCAAGUUUUGAACUGCACGUUGAUGUGCCUAUCGCUAUCUGCAAGUUCAAUAGUCAGGCGAAGGCGGGUCUGUUUGCAAGACUGAUUUAUUUAAUUAUUUACAUGGUAAUUAUUCAAAACUAUUUACAUGGUUUAAAUGUAAAGUGUUUGUCCAGCAGAUUGGUCCGAGUUCAAUGGUUGACCCAGUUUGGUCGAUCGACAGUGACGAUAGAAAUGCUGAGUCUACGAAGUGAAUACUUUACAGAGUGUUCCCACAGGACCCCUUCCCUAGCGAUUCGAUUAGCGAUAUUGGUCAUCCUACUGUGAAGGAUUUACUCUUGUUGAUUCUGCGGUGUCGUUGUUGGAGGCUGCAGGCGCAGGAGAGGUUUGUGGGUGUAGUCUUUCUGACAUGAUGUAUGCUGGUUUAAGUCGGUGAAUAGAUACUUUUUUUCUUUGUUGGGUAAUUGAACGGUGAACAGCUGGUUUUUUAGGACCGUCGUGUCGAAUUAGGACGUACUCUGUUAUUUGGAGGGAUUGUAGAUGAAUGUCUUCUAUUCCCCACGUCGUGUUCCGGGCUGUUAUUGGUUUGUGAGCUUGGUGGAGAUAGGAAUUCUCCAGGUAGACGUAGUGACUUUCCAUAUACCAUGUCAGCGGUUGUUGCUUUCAGAUCUUCCAUCCAGGCUGCUCGGAUGCCUAAUAGUACAAUGGGAAGAAUUUGGGUACAGCUGUCAUUUUGAUGACAUGUUAUUGCAGUCUUCAACUGGCGAUGAAAUCGUUCAACCAUUCCAUUUGCUGCAGGGUGGUAUGCUGUGAUACGGACGGAUGUGUUUGGUGUUCGUUAGAUGUCAUAGUUCGUUGAAGAGUUGAGAUUCGAAGUGUCUUUUUUGGUCGGUAGUAAUCCGUGAUGGUGCACCAAAUCGACAGAUCCACCCUUCAUAGAAAAAUAAAAAGAAUCAAAUUAAAAUCUAGUCAAGCCCAAAAGUAGUUUUGAGGACAGCCUGGAAUAAUUUUUAAGAAGGCCCAGACAAGUGUACGAAUAGUCCUGUUCAAAAAAUUACUACAUAUUUUGCUCUACCGUUCCAAAGCUAUGUAGGUCUUGGAACAAUUUACAGGAUAGGAGUGUUCAAUGGCUGUUGUUUUUUUAGUAAGUAAGUUAUGCUAUUAUUAUAUUCCAUUAUACACAAUUUAUCUUUUAAUUUUGUUCAAGAGUGUUAUAGCUCGUUUUAUAAAAUUAAAUAAACAAAUAAAAAAGGGUAUGAUAUUUCUGAAUUGUAAUAAAGAUGAUCGGUUUAAAUGAUUAACAAUAAGGAUUUUGUAAAAUUCCGUCCGACUUUACUAAAAAGCGGUUUGAAAGAUAUUUACGAAUGAAAACGAAAAAAAAAACGUUAUUGGCUUGUAA
rnacentral:lncRNA from 1 species